UUUCCGUAGGUGAACCUGCGGAAGGAUCAUUACCGAGUGAGGGCCCUCUGGGUCCAACCUCCCACCCGUGUUUAUCGUACCUUGUUGCUUCGGCGGGCCCGCCUCACGGCCGCCGGGGGGCUUCUGCCCUCUGGCCCGCGCCCGCCGAAGACACCAUUGAACGCUGUCUGAAGAUUGCAGUCUGAGCAAUUAGCUAAAUAAGUUAAAACUUUCAACAACGGAUCUCUUGGUUCCGGCAUCGAUGAAGAACGCAGCGAAAUGCGAUACGUAAUGUGAAUUGCAGAAUUCAGUGAAUCAUCGAGUCUUUGAACGCACAUUGCGCCCCCUGGUAUUCCGGGGGGCAUGCCUGUCCGAGCGUCAUUGCUGCCCUCAAGCACGGCUUGUGUGUUGGGCCUCCGUCCUCCUCCCGGGGGACGGGCCCGAAAGGCAGCGGCGGCACCGCGUCCGGUCCUCGAGCGUAUGGGGCUUCGUCACCCGCUCUUGUAGGCCCGGCCGGCGCUUGCCGACACAUCAAUCUUUUUUCCAGGUUGACCUCGGAUCAGGUAGGGAUACCCGCUGAACUUAAGCAUAUCAAUAAGCGG
rnacentral:rRNA from 1 species